AUGCUGGCGAUGCCACCAGUGGUUUUGGAGUCAGUACCGGGGCUCUUCUACUUAUGUGACAGAAGGGACAAUCUGCUUUAGUACACUGUGUCAUAUUUAUAAUUUGGAUGCACAAACAAACAUUUCUCAGCAGAUUUAGUUGGGAAAGGCUUUGCAAGUUGAGAUUGGAUGAUGAGCUACACACUCAUCUACAUUUUUACAAGCAGGCCAGUACUUGCAGCGCUCCAGAAGUCUUUCUGGUUUCUGUGCCACACUCCAGUCAGUCAUCUCAGCAUUUGAAAAGCUGCCAUCUGGGUCCUCAAGCUGCCUGCUCAGCAAAUGCAGCUGCUGUGGGUGGAGGAGACCUCGGAGCUCCUUGUUUGAGUUUGAAGUUUGGUUUAUGGGUUUCAUUCCUUCAAAGCCCAUCCCCUUCUCUUGAUCUCACGCGUAUCCUGGGGGGAGCUGGGGACACCAUACAGUAUCACUCUAAACUUGGGACUUGCAGGUUUAUCUGGUUGUACGAGGUCUCUUGUCUGCAUAAGGUGUCUUGAAAAGACCCAAAGGGCAUAUGCAGUCUUCAUCCCCAAAUCCUGGUUUGGUGUCACUACUAUUUUCUCAGACAGCUUUGGCUUCUUCAUAAUAAAUGAUCUUGUGUCUGCAUGGAUCAGGAAUUCCAUGUCAUAGUAAUCUUGAUGGAUCAGGAAUUCCAUGUCAUAGUAAUCUUGACUCAUCUACAUUGUUUCACCAUUACUAGAUUAAUUUGCAGUUGCAAUAACUACUGCUUCUGUUGAGUUACUUGAUUUUUUUUUUUUGUAUUGUCUCUUUUUGCUUCCUCUUCUUUAACAGGGGGACUUAUUCUUAUUUUGCCCCUGGAGCAUUUCUGCUAGCAAUUUUUCUUGAGAAGUUUGAGUUCUGGAAGCAACUGGAAGUGUCUAUUUCUGUGAAACUACAGAAACUUGUUUUUGUUACAGCUUCAGAGAAAGCCUUCAAAAUUAGAUUCUUGUUAGCUUCCUAUCUGGGACCCAUAAUCCUCAUCUCCCUGCUUUUCCCAAUCAUGGCUAAAUCUUUUUACUUUAACAACUGAACUUACCACAGGUAACUUUCUCAAUACUUACUUUAUCCAAGUGGCUUCUGAAGAAGGGUCUAUAAGUGUCUUCUACGCUGCUAAGCACUGGUGGUUCACACAACAGUACACAACAGUCCUGCUUCAUAUACCUGACUGCUCUGUACAUCCAACUGCUUGGCAGCGUGAGCACUGCUUUGCUGCUGAUGAAGUUGCAGCCUGUUUAAGAGAGUACCAGUGUCUGCAUUUCUACGUGCAGGUGGUCGAUACGUUUCAAUAGAAGGGCUAGAUUCAAUAAAAGUGUCACUGUAGAUUUUUUCUGAGAUAAGGGAUUCUCCUGCACAAAAUUGAGGUCUUCAUCAAUGAGAUCAUCUGGUUCUGGCUUGAUAUCAACCACAUCUUCAGAGGGUGCUGGCUCCUUCUGUGGUUUCACUGUUGACAUUAGCUGGGUGGAAGCUCUACCAUCAUAUGAAUGUCUGACAUUAGUAGAUUUCUGCUCCUGUGAACUUGUAGAAACUCUGGAAUUCCUUUUUUCAGGUUUAGAGCGAGAAAUGGCAAGGGGAGGGAUGGCAGCUUGUGCCUCCUCUGAUCUCCCUAACUAAAACUGCUCUUGUUUGAAGGCACGUGACUAUCAAAGAUGCUGGUAUCAGGAGACUUUAGACUAGAGUGCUCAGUUGUAACAGAGUGAAGUUUAUCUAAUACACUAUGGAGCCAUACAGUGAAUCGAAUUGUGUUGUUCCCUAGAAACAGGAACAGGUCCUCUUGUUGGCCACCACCACCAUAAUGUAAUUAUCAGGAAGUUCUUGACUCAUGUAAGCUCCUAAUUCUUAUAAUUUCCUCUUAAUGGCACUCUGGAUCUUGUGGCUGAUCUCAGUGCUGAUUACCAUGGGUCUGCACUGCACCAUGCUUUGGUCACCUGGAGCCUGCCCCAGGCUGCCACCCUGAAGCCUGCCCCACUACACUGCACUCUUUUUUUUUUUUUUAAAGAAAAAGUCUUUCUAUGUGGUCCUGGCUAUACUGGAGCUCUCUAUGCAGACCUGGGUGGCCUCUAAAGUGCUGGGAUUCUAGGCGUGGGCCUCCAUGCCUGGUACUCUAUAUAACUCAGUUAACAAGCCAUUUCCAUGCUUUAGAUAACCUGUCUUAUAUGGGGAGGUUAGGUUACAGACCCUCUCUAUCUGCUAUUUCCUCCAAACUAGAGCACACUCCCUGUAGCCUUCCUCUCAGAGCACAGCUAUAUAGAGUGGUUAUGAGCUUGCAGCUCUGACAGAGUAUUUCUCUCCCCUAGACAGCUGCAAGCUACAAAGAAAAUCUAAGCUUCUGCAGAGUUUUACCCAAUGACCAUUUCCCCAGUGCCGUGCAUGCUCAAAGUGGCUGUGAAUUAAAGCCUCAAUUCUUAUCAGGUGCCUUGCGUGUCUUCAUAAUGUGUGGCAUAUAUGUUAGGUCACCUGGCAUAGAAUCUCCUCCCCUUAACCCUAACCCAGUAGGAGGAAAAAUUCCCUUUGUUGUUUGCAACGGAAGGCUUUUUCCUUCAUUACCUCAUGAUGGCUGCUCUAUGGCCUGAUGCUUCUAACUCUCCAAAUAGAACUAUUCUGAGGGGUGGUAAGUCAUCUUGGCUUUCUCUCUCCAACACGGAAGCCAUCCUUUUAAUUAUUUGUCUAGCAGAAUUGUAUACACAGAAUUCCAAGUUCCUUUGUUUGAGAACAUAUUCCAGUGUCUCCAUCAUUGUAGCAUGGCCUUAUCUAUGGCUUUGUAAAUGUUGCUAAAUGGAGAGUUGACUCUUGUUUUUUAUUUAGUAGAACAUCAUUUAAAUUUUUUGUAGGUUUGAUACUAUUUAAUACCUUCAAUACUAGUGUAUUUAGUUUUAUAUGCUGCGUACAAUGAAUUCAUAAGGUUUCAUAUAUUAUUAGUUUUAAUAGUUUUAAAAGGUGUACUCUGUGGGAAUACCAUUGCAAUUACAUGUGAGACUCUGGGUUCAACCUUCAGCUCCAUGGAAAAUAAGUAAAUAAAUGAAUAAACACCAGU
rnacentral:lncRNA from 1 species